GACGAACGCUGGCGGCGUGCCUAAUACAUGCAAGUAGAACGCACAGUUUAUACCGUAGCUUGCUACACCAUAAACUGUGAGUUGCGAACGGGUGAGUAACGCGUAGGUAACCUGCCUGGUAGCGGGGGAUAACUAUUGGAAACGAUAGCUAAUACCGCAUAAUAUUGAUUAUUGCAUGAUAAUUGAUUGAAAGAUGCUAUUGCAUCACUACCAGAUGGACCUGCGUUGUAUUAGCUAGUAGGUGAGGUAACGGCUCACCUAGGCGACGAUACAUAGCCGACCUGGGAGGGUGAUCGGCCAAACUGGGACUGAGACACGGCCCAGACUCCUACGGGAGGCAGCAGUAGGGAAUCUUCGGCAAUGGACGAAAGUCUGACCGAGCAACGCCGCGUGAGUGAAGAAGGUUUUCGGAUCGUAAAGCUCUGUUGUAAGAGAAGAACGGGUGUGAGAGUGGAAAGUUCACACUGUGACGGUAUCUUACCAGAAAGGGACGGCUAACUACGUG
rnacentral:rRNA from 1 species